rnacentral:lncRNA from 1 species
AUACAUUUGCUCACGUAUGUACAGUCGCGCUCAAUAUGACUUGCAAUGCGGGAGCACGUGGCUUCACGAGUUCAAAGCCUGCUCAUGGCUUCCACUAGCCCUUACUUCCAUAACUAAAUGCUGUUCUAGCACUGCACUCGGGGAUGAUUCCAA